GACAGCAUGGCCGAGUGGUUAAGGCGGUAGACUCGAAUCGACGUGUUAUCUACUCCCUUCGGGGUCCAGAGUUCAAAUCUCUGUGCUGUCG